UAACACGUGGGCAACCUGCCCCGAAGACCGGGACAACCCGAGGAAACUCGGGCUAAUACCGGAUGUGUCCAAUGAGCACGAGCUCGCUGGGCAAAGGAAGCUUCGGCCUCCGCUUCGGGAGGGGCCCGCGGCCCAUUAGCUAGUCGGUGAGGUAACGGCUCACCGAGGCAACGAUGGGUAGCUGGUCUGAGAGGACGAUCAGCCACACUGGGACUGAGACACGGCCCAG
rnacentral:rRNA from 1 species